UGACAGUUCCAGAUCUCCCUGUACUACCUGUGACAGUUCCAGAUCUCCUGUACUACCUGUGACAGUUCCAGAUCCCCCUGUACCUGGACCCUCUGUAUCAGCCCGCCCACCUGUACAAUCAGACCCCUUUGAUAGUGACAGUGACCCAGAUGACCCUGAGCCUUUCCAUGGUUUUGAUGCCUCGCCCUAUACAUCAGAUGUAGAUGUUCCCUCAUCAGUUGAUACGAGUAUCACCUCUCCAGAGCCCAAAUCAGUUGAUACGAGUAUCACCUCUCCCAUUCCUUCAGACUCCCAAGCACCUGCCCAUCCCACUCCAUAGCCCAGCCACCCACUCUCAUGUACCAUAUGGCCAUCCUAGUAAGCAA